GCCAGGAGGCCGCUGUUACCCCAGGUGCAUGACCCUGGCAGACAGUGCUUCAACCCUGAGGCCCAGCUCCAGCCCUUCCUCCCCUGCUGCUUCUCCAGCCUUCCUGUUCCAUGGCCGGGCAGCUUGUCCUCUUCUCCACUGAGUCCAGUCUCUGCAUGAAGCAGAUCUUAAGCACAGCAUUUUCAUCUUUCUGUUCAUCACCCUGGAAUGGGUGCAGAUUCCCCAGUGCCUGAGCAAGAUGACUUCAGGGACUUUCUAGGCAAGACCGUGCCUUUUCCUUCUGAGAGAAAUAAAAUGAGCCGAAUCAUGAACACCCAAGGCAAGGCUUUUAUCAAAGGACAGAGCUAUCGGGCUGUCUGGAACAACGUCAAGAGCGGCAACCUGGGGCUGGCUGGGGAAGGUGAGCGAGCAUGGGGGUUCCCCUCCAUUCCCUGGGGUCAUCAGGUGGAGCUGCGGUGGCAUGGCCAGCUGCCAGGGCAUGCCUGUCAUGGUGAGCAGCAAAGCUGUCGUCUUGGUGACUUUGGAAGCCUCGGGAGGAAGCACUCAGGGUACAAGUCCCAAGUGGAUUUACAGGACUUCUGGAGCCCACACUACCCAAGAAAUAAAUCGUGAACAGGUUUACAGGACCUCCAAGGCGGCCGGCCUAUGGGAGAAGAACUAACCAGACAGAGCUGCUCAAGACCCUUUCCAGCUGGGCAACCCAUAGGAACAGAAACGAAGGUGGCUCGAGCCUGGGGUUAAACCGGCAGAAUCACGUGCGGAAUCACAUUGGCAGCCCCGGGCGGGUCUUAGCGGGAGAAUCUGCCUCCAAGACCCAGCCCUUGCAGACCGAGGCCAGCUUCCAGCAUGGCUGUGACUGGCCAAGGGUCACUCAUUCCCACGCUUUCCAACACAGCUGGGUGCAAGCCAAGGAGGCAAGCAGCAGAGUCAAUCUUUUCCAAGCUCUCUGUGGAAUGGAUGUCACUUAUCCAUGCCCUGUGCCAUAUUUUAUUGGUUAGAAACAACUCAUUAGGCGCGCACCCUGGGGGAGGUGGCUACAUAAUAAGCCCAGGAACACAGGAAGUAGAUCACGGAGGGAUGCCUGAGAAGUCUGCCUACCACAGUGUCUUCAGCCCCUGGUUACAGCAGGUGCUCAAUAAUGUUCGUCAUUUUGGAUUUUGGUGUUCCUACCACAACAGGACUAGUUGGAAAAUUGCACUACAAAAAUAAUAAACUUCAGGGCCGGGGAUUUAGCUCAGUGGUUCCACAGCCUGCUUUGCAAGGACAAGGACCUGAGUUUGUUCGCCGGUACCAAAAAUAAAUAAAUAAAUAAACUUCAGGUGUUAGAGGGGGCUGAUCUGAUGGGAAAUUCUGUUCUCUCUGGGGGACAAAUUCACCAGGAAUUCAGUCCUGUCCUCAUGGCUGGACUGUCCUGGGGGUGAGCCUAUAUCCUUUACCUCAACACCUUCAACAUUUAGCAGAGCCUCCUCAACACAUGAAAGGAGCUUGGAGAGCAUGGAAUGGAUUAUGGAUGGAGGAAUGGUCAAGAGAACGAUAAACUCUCUACUCCUCAGACACCCUCUGUCCACCAACCAGGAUAUACUUUUUUUUGGUGUGUGUGCUGGUGGGAAUUGAACCCAGAGCCUUGGGCAUACUAGGCAAAUGCUGUACACUGAGCUGGGCCCUCGGCACCAGGCUCCAGGUUUAACAAAACAUGGACUUUGAAAAGUGGGCACAGAAAGGGGAAAUCUACUACUUCACUAACAGUUUUUUUGACUGAACAGGUGUCAACAAGGCUUUCCCCAUGUUGGCCCUGGGUGUUUUCAUCUCUCAAUCAUACUUUUCAAAAUCCUAAUCUGAGAAAAAUCUAUAUUAUGAACAAAUAGAAACUGUACCAAGUAAAAUCUGAGCAUGCCAUAAUGGUCAGAAGGAGUCUUCCCGGCCCAGGCCCUGGGCAAAUGGGAUUUAGAAUCUCGAUUAUCUGUAGAUGUUUAGUAGAAAGAACUGAGGCACUGAAUGUACUCUAAGGAGUUGUGUUGCGCUUGUGGCUUUUAUCCGGAUAUCCCCCAAAAGCCUUGAGUGCUCACAGACUGGGCUUUGGAGGAUGGCAAUCAGGGGCUGAUGUCGCCCUUGUUGCUAGGAGACUGGGUUGCUAGGAGACCGGGUUGGCUCAGAAGAGGUGGGCUUGCUGGGGGUGACAUGGAGGGGGUGAACCCCCCUCCUACCCUCCCCUGCUUCCUCACCACCAUGACGUGAGCAGCUUUCCUGCCACCAGGCCAUGUCUGUGUUUCCUCCUGCCAAUCAUGGACUGAAACUUCUGAAACUAUGAGCCAAAAUAAACCUCUACUCCUUUGAG
rnacentral:lncRNA from 1 species